rnacentral:rRNA from 1 species
AUUGAACGCUGGCGGCAGGCCUAACACAUGCAAGUCGAACGGUAACAGGAAGAAGCUUGCUUCUUUGCUGACGAGUGGCGGACGGGUGAGUCAUGUCUGGGAAACUGCCUGAUGGAGGGGGAUAACUACUGGAAACGGUAGCUAAUACCGCAUAACGUCGCAAGACCAAAGAGGGGGACCUUCGGGCCUCUUGCCAUCGGAUGUGCCCAGAUGGGAUUAGCUAGUAGGUGGGGUAACGGCUCACCUAGGCGACGAUCCCUAGCUGGUCUGAGAGGAUGACCAGCCACACUGGAACUGAGACACGGUCCAGACUCCUACGGGAGGCAGCAGUGGGGAAUAUUGCACAAUGGGCGCAAGCCUGAUGCAGCCAUGCCGCGUGUAUGAAGAAGGCCUUCGGGUUGUAAAGUACUUUCAGCGGGGAGGAGGGGAGUAAAGUUAAUACCUUUGCUCAUUGACGUUACCCGCAGAAGAAGCACCGGCUAACUCCGUG